UGUCAACGAGCCGGACAUGAGCAAGCUAGGACCGGCUCGUUUCAUAAAUGAGCCAAACACGAGUUGGCUCGUUAAAGUAUCGAGCCGAAAAAUUGACGAGUUGAACACGAACUGGGUCACGAACAAUAAGUUAAAAAUGAUUAGAAAUGAUAUAUAUAUAAAAUAAAUUUAUGAGAUCUUAUCUAUUAAAUUUUGAUUUAAUGGUUGAAAAUUUAUAUAUAAAUGAGCUUUUUUAUAAUUGAGUUGAGCUUUAUAUUUAGGUUUUGCUAAAAAUUAAAUAAUAAAAAAAUAUAUUCUACAUAUAUAAUUAUUCAUUCAUAUAUAAAAAUAUAAAAUAUAUGCAUUCGAGCGGUUAUCGAGCCGAACACGAGUGAACUGACCCCAACUCGUGUUCGGCUCAUUUAUUAAACGAGCUAAAAAUUAAAUUCAACUCGUGUUCGGCUGGUUUACUAACGAGCGAUUCGAUUUUGAGCUCAUUUCGAGUCAAACAUGAUCUGGCUUGCGAACAACGAGCUAGAAUAUUGACACCCCUACUUACGAGUGUCGAGAAAAUAUAUG
rnacentral:lncRNA from 1 species